GUUUAAUUAUGAUGACUGAACUAACAGGCUCACAUCAUAGACUUUUACAGGUUGACCCUGUGUCAUCCUGAUGUAUCAUUUUGCGCCAGUUCAGUGCUGUAAAUCAAUUUAAGAUCUCCAGCAGGUUGAAAAGGCUGCUGUGGAAGCCUUCUGGAUCACCCAAAUCAAGGGAAAUUUCUCUCAAGUGCCUACUUACAGUCUGAAGUAAAUGGCAAGACUUCAGCCCUAAGACCACAGCAAGGACUCCAAAAAGGGCCAGAUCGCUCUCAUUUUCAUACUGAUGUUCUUCCAGUCACAACAGAGAAGUGCAUGCAGUCAGCCCCAUGAAGAAUUACAGACACACACCUGCAAAGAAAAGUGUUCUCCGUGGGCUGGAUUGGAUUUUCCAGAGCUGUCUGUCAUCCUGGAAGUGUUUCCUAGUGCAGCUCGGUUUUCCAUCUACAGCCAGAGCACUGGAAAAGGCAGUCAGUCCCUCUGAAGAAAACUGAGAACAUAUGUACAUGGCAUAUAGAGAGCAGGCCUAGAGAGUGGCUCAAGGAACUUCCCUUCUACAAGGUGGAUGGACAGAAUACAAACUGAUUUAUUUAUCAGACAAAGCACUGAGAGGCACUUUCACACAGAGAAAUUAAUUCUGGAUCCCAUUUUUCCUCUCUGCUCUCUUCACUGCUCCAUGAAAGGAAAAGAGACCAUGCCUACCAAGCAGCAAAUUAUAAUAACCAUGCUCAGCUCAACAGCGUUUUAUCAUGGAUUUGGUUGAUAGAUUUGGUCAAAAGGUCAAACUACUCCCAUGGAGAACAAAGGUGGCAACUCUCUAUCAUCUGUGACAGAAACAGACACAAUUCUCACCUUAGCUUUGCCUGCUUCCCGUGGGCCAGCAUUGCCCCAGACAUCUCUAGGUAGCUCUCACCUGUACUCUCCUUAACCAGACAAACUUUUCCAUGGUGUGAAAUGGACAGAGAUAAGCCUUUGCUUCACUGGCACAUCAAAGCAGACCUGCAACCCACCUUUUUUGCUGCAACCCUUUCAAUAAAUUCCAGUUUAUGUAGUUAAUGGAUGAACAGAACCAGCUCUGUCAUUGAUAUGACAGAGAUGUGUUAUGUACUCAUUUGCAAUAUCAGUUCUGUAGGGCUUUUUAUUUUACUGUGACUUUUUUCUUUUUUAAAAAACCAGUAUAUUGAAAAUUUAUGCUUGGUAUAUAAAACCACUUUAUGGGAUCAUAAUUUUAACAGAGCUCCAAAAUAAAGUUUUGCCAAUGAAAAAGAGUAAGUCUAUCAGGGAGAAAUAAACAUAUUCUCAUGCUCACUGCUAUAAUUUCUAUUGUCAGAGAGCUUCCUGUAUCUCUAGAUCAUAAAGACUUAGAACAAUAUAGCCUAGGACUUAGUGGUAAAAAGAUUUACUGUGUCAUCCUACUCACCACAACAGCGUGCUUUGUUCAGUCUAGAGGCUUCUUCCACUUCACUCAGAAUAUCUUGUGAACUAAAAUAACUCGGAGUAAAAAAAAAUACUAGGCUGUAUGCUGCAGUUUAUCCCAUCUGUUUCUAAUUUAAUCAUACUAAUUAGCUGAGCUAUCAUAAAUACAUUCUCCUUCUGUCAUCGCUGUUCACAUUCUCCAUAUUUAUCUGCAGAUGCCAGGAGCACUUAUUUGUUCCUGCUACACGGUAAACAUUGUUGUGUCAGGAACCCUGCUGUGAUAAAGCUUCCCUGACAAACAGCCACCCUCAGGGAAAAAACCAGUGCCCAGCUCAGUAACAAGUGGUAACAGGCUAUCAGGUGGUGACAAACACUCCAAGGUUUUACAUCUAACAGUUUGUCACACUUCAGCAGUUCAAAGCAAAGAUUUUCAGGAGCCCAGGACUAAUCUUAACUAUUUAAAAAAAAUCUUUAUUGGCAUAUUAACUACGUGGUUUAAUUCUGUGUUAUCUAUUAUGUGCAGGGAAACAGCAAAUGCAAGAGGGAAUGUGAUUACAUGUGGUACUAUUUUUGCAGUCAGGUAGAGAGGAACAGUGCCCCUAAACAGACAAAAUCUGCAGCCAGUCCAAAAAAAAACCCCAAAAAACAAAAAAACAAAACCAAGAGUAUUCUUCAAAUCUCUUGAACAUAUACAGGAAAACAUUUAAUUUCUAUUUCCUGUUUGUUGAUAUUUCAUAAACUAUAAUUAGAUUGUCAUAAGGAUGCCUGUUGUUAAAAAUGGGUAAAUAAAUAAUUUAAAUCAAAUGUUCAAUGUCAGAUUUUGAGGUUUUAUGCAGUCCCACUGUAAUCCAGGUCAUGGAUUAGAAGAUACACUUUUCUAACAAAGAAGUAGAUUCUGCAUAAUUUAGAAGAGUUUUACCCAGAACUAUAUUCUCGGAUAAAGAUGUGUAAAUUCCUCAAAAUCAAAGGGAACUGAUACCCAGGAGGGCAAAGCAGACAAAACAGCCCAUCAGCAACUCAACCACAUGAAAGACCACAAAGAAACUCCAAAGCCACCCACGCAGCUGCCUGAGGAGUCUGUCAAGGAAUGAGAGGCUCUUGUUCAGCUCAUGUUGCUGCUGGAAAUGUGUUUGAAGAGCUUGGCAAUACCGCUGGAUUUUACAAGUGGCACACAAAGAUGAGAAAAAUGAAAUCAGAUUGAAUUACGUGCUGCAGUACACUGGCGGUGUCACAUCUCAGCUAACUACAAUGUAAUUUAAUUUACAAGAUAAUGGAACGAUCUCCUGCAUUUGCUACUUCCAGAGGGGCAACUGACAAACAUCCACAGUAUACCUAGAAAGCCUCCAUUUCUGAAAAAUGAGUACCAGGCCUUGAACAUCAGAGAUCUAUAAAACCAGAACUGAAAGGGUGAAGAAUCAAUCCCUUUUUUUCUGCAUCCUUCUGAAACUACCAGCACAUAUUGGCAAAGUAACAGAAUAACAGCUAUUGUAUCACUUGUUAUUGCUUGCUACCUCUUUGGUUUGUAUAAAGCCGACAGAAAUCCUCCUUCUUACUGUCCUUUUACUGACAAACCUGGAGAUACUCCUUCUCAAUAUUCUGCUUUCUUCAGUGAGGAAGAAAGAUGGCAAGAGACCUAAAUUUUCAAAAUAUUUGUCAAUAACCAUUCCAAAUAACACAUCUUAAAUUUUGUUCUCUACUACAUCAACAUAGCUGGUGAAAUGUGAAGAAAGUUUUUGAUGAGAAAACACUUACUUUAAACAAAUUAUUUUAGAUGCCUUCAGUUUGCUGCAAGGAGUAGAAGGGAGAAUGAGGCAAAACCUGGAACAGUGAAGGCAUUUUUCUUCAACACUUGUUAAAUGCUCCCUUGUUUUGUUCAUGUUGUCAAUCUGUAGUAAAAUGAACAGGAUCUUAAAUA